rnacentral:rRNA from 1 species
GAUAUAAGAGACGUGUGGGCAUAGUAUUAAUUGCAGAGUAAUUUGAUUGUAAGGCUACGACCGAAAGCAUUGCAGAGAGUUUAUAAUCAAGAACGAAGAAAGGGACCAAGGCAUCAGAACCUUCGAGUCCUCUUAAACUAGCGACAAGGAUUGGAAUGCAGUAACAUUUCAGUCUUUAGGAAUCAAGUCCUUGCUCCCGCGGGAGUAUGUUCGCAGACUGAAACUAAAAGAAUUGACGAAGGGCACCCCAGGAGUGACCUGCGCUUAUUUACUCAACACGGGGAGGGUGGCGAGGUCCGCCAUCUACGAUGCAGUGUAGUCAUUUUGGUAGAUGGGGGUGUCAUGCCGUUUUUUUUGCUUUCUUUUCUUCCUUCUCGGCCUUAACCUGCUACUAGAAUCGAUCAUCUAAUGUCGUUUUUUCUAGAGGGACUAUUAACAUAAUACAUGGAGUUUGAGCCAAUAACAGGUCAGUGAUGCCGUGGGGGUGGAGAGCUGCACGCGUGCUACACUGAUGUAUACAACAAGUCCUAGUCAGACAUGGCAUGCCAUCUGGAAUAUGCAUCGUGAUGGGGAUAGAUCUUUGCAAUUAUAGAUCUGAACGAGGAAUCCUAGUAAGUGCAAGUCAUCAUCUACAAUGAUUAUUUCCCUGCCCUUUGUACACACCUCCCUUCGCUCCUACCGAUACCUUGAAUCCGGUGAACCUUUUGACCUGCAAGGGGAAGAUAAGUAAACCAUAUCACCUAGAGGAAGGAGAAUUC